UGGGGAAUUUUGGACAAUGGGGGCAACCCUGAUCCAGCAACGAUGCGUGGAGGACGAAGGUUUUCGGAUUGUAAACUUCUUUUGUAAGGGACGAAAAAUGACGGUACCUUAAGAAUAAGCUCCGGCUAACUACGUGCCAGCAGCCGCGGUAAUACGUAGGGAGCAAGCGUUAUCCGGAUUGACUGGGUGUAAAGGGUGAGUAGGCGGGACAACAAGUCAGAUGUGAAAACUAUGGGCUCAACCCAUAGCGUGCAUUUGAAACUGGCAGACUUGAGUGUCGGAGAGGGUGGCGGAAUUCCAGGUGUAGGAGUGAAAUCCGUAGAUAUCUGGAGGAACACCGGUGGCGAAGGCGGCCACCUGGACGAUAACUGACGCUGAGGUGCGAAAGCGUGGGUAGCAAACA
rnacentral:rRNA from 1 species